rnacentral:rRNA from 1 species
AUUGAACGCUGGCGGCAGGCCUAACACAUGCAAGUCGAACGAGUGGCGGACGGGUGAGUAAUAUCUGGGAACCUGCCCGAUGGAGGGGGAUAACUACUGGAAACGGUAGCUAAUACCGCAUACCAUCGGAUGUGCCCAGAUGGGAUUAGCUUGUUGGUGGGGUAACGGCUCACCAAGGCGACGAUCCCUAGCUGGUUUGAGAGGACGACCAGCCACACUGGGACGGAGACACGGUCCAGACUCCUACGGGAGGCAGCAGUGGGGAAUGUUGGACAAUGGGGGAAAGCCUGAUGCAGCCAUGCCGCGUGUAUGAAGAAGGCCUUCGGGUUGUAAAGUACUUUCGGCGGGGAGGCGUUACCCGCAGAAGAAGCACCGGCUAACUCCGUGCCAGCAGCCGCGGUAAUAC